AAUCCAGACUCCUACGGGAGGCAGCAGUGGGGAAUAUUGCACAAUGGGGGAAACCCUGAUGCAGCAACGCCGCGUGAGUGAAGAAGUCAUUCGUGAUGUAAAGCUCUAUCAGCAGGGAAGAAAAUGACGGUACCUGAAGAAGAAGCCCCGGCUAACUACGUGCCAGCAGCCGCGGGAAUACGUAGGGGGCAAGCGUUAUCCGGAUUUACUGGGUGUAAAGGGGGCGCAGACGGCGAUGCAAGCCAGGAGUGAAAGCCCGGGGCCCAACCCCGGGACUGCUCUUGGAACUGCGUGGCUGGAGUGCAGGAGGGGCAGGCGGAAUUCCUGGUGUAGCGGUGAAAUGCGUAGAUAUCAGGAGGAACACCGGUGGCGAAGGCGGCCUACUGGACUGCAACUGGCGUUGAGGCCCGAAAGCGUGGGGAGCAAACAGGAUUAGAUCCCCUUGUA
rnacentral:rRNA from 1 species